rnacentral:lncRNA from 1 species
GACAGUAUAUUCAUUCUCACCCUUUAAAGCCUCUAGAGUACUUUAAAAAUUGAGGGUUUUAAGUGGCAAAUGUUGAUAAGAUAGGCACUUACUAGAAUAGCAUCCCCCAGUAAGGUUUUGGUAGAUGCAUGGUGAACAUAAAAGAUUGUCCUACUUCUAACAAAUGGCUAUUUUUUCUUUCAUCGACCUCAUUUUAUGCACUAGUGUAAGG